rnacentral:rRNA from 1 species
AAAUUGAAGAGUUUGAUCAUGGCUCAGAUUGAACGCUGGCGGCAGGCCUAACACAUGCAAGUCGAACGGUAACAGGAAGCAGCUUGCUGCUUUGCUGACGAGUGGCGGACGGGUGAGUAAUGUCUGGGAAACUGCCUGAUGGAGGGGGAUAACUACUGGAAACGGUGGCUAAUACCGCAUAACGUCGCAAGACCAAAGAGGGGGACCUUCGGGCCUCUUGCCAUCAGAUGUGCCCAGAUGGGAUUAGCUUGUUGGUGAGGUAACGGCUCACCAAGGCGACGAUCCCUAGCUGGUCUGAGAGGAUGACCAGCCACACUGGAACUGAGACACGGUCCAGACUCCUACGGGAGGCAGCAGUGGGGAAUAUUGCACAAUGGGCGCAAGCCUGAUGCAGCCAUGCCGCGUGUAUGGAGAAGGCCUUCGGGUUGUAAAGUACUUUCAGCGGGGAGGAAGGUGUUGUGGUUAAUAACC